GUUGGUGUUUGCAGAAUCACUGCAACAAGCUCGCGCUGCUCCUCGCCUUUAGGUCCUCUUCGCCCCUGAAGGCAAAGCACGUGUCAUUUCUGAGCUGAAUGAUGGCAGCACCACAGAAGAAAGAAUGUGGAAAGGGACCAAAGAAAACUUUUGCCCCACCUAUACAAAAAUUGCAUAGCAUGAUGCCUCAUAGCCCUGAUUUACCCAUGGAGGCUCCAGGAGUUGGCUCCCCAGAGGCUGAGACCAAGCCAAGCCAACCGAAGUCCAGGGUAGAGAAGAAGCAGAAAGUAACCACGGAGAAUGGUCCAAGACUUGGCCAUGAGAAGAAAAGAAAGGCUCAAGGCAGCAAGCCA